AAAAUAAUUAAAGUCGGCAUCUUGUAUCAUAUUAUAGGCUAUACUGGAAUGUAACCACAAACCAUGAGGUUAACUACGACAUGCUAAAACAAUUAAGCUAAAUUUGGCUUACAUUGCUGCUUGACGUUUGAAAGUUGGCCCAUACAGAAUGAAUCAAAUGGAUGUUACCGUUUGGUCCACCGUUUCUCCAUAAAAACUGUAAGAAAAAUGACAAGACUCUGAUUUAAUACAAAAGUAUGUCAAAAAUGAUUAUAAUUGGAAUAUCCACAGCUGAUUCUAACGCUAGCACUGAUGACUUACAUCAGACAAGGAUUUCAACUUCUCAGAAUUCUGUGCAUGUUCAUUUCUUGAAUUCCAAACCAAGGAAACUUGCACUUUACCUAAAAGGAAAACAAGCAUAUCCUAGCAUUUGAGAGAACCUCUAUGCAAUAUAGAGCUUAUGUAGAAACAGAUUAACACAGAGAGAGAGAGAGAGGGAGAGAGCUUCUGUGUGAACCUUCUCGGUAUCGUUCUGCAGCUGGGAGGGAUGUGUUAUAUGUUGUCACAGCCAUCUGAAGAGUAGGAUUACAGAAUUUAAAAAAAGGCACCUCAACUGAGUUCCUAUUCAGUUCAUUAUAGUCAAACAAAAAACUCAACUCAUUAAUAUGCAUAUAUAAUUUUCAGAUUGGGUUGCUUUUCAAAGAAUACAUAUCUGAAGCCAAUUAUUUCAACCGAAACACUUGUCAAAAAAACAAGCCAGCUGAAUUAGAACCUUCAUGCUUUUGGUGUAAAACCUAAUAUUAAGUGUGGACCUUUAUAGACGUAAGACACUAAUUAAAGAAGACUCAAACAACGCCCAUGUCAUCCUGCGAAGUCUUUACUCCCUUAGUUAAUAAGCAGCUUAAUAAGCAGCUUCAAGUUUAGCAGCUAUAAAAACUAAGCAGAAUAAACUUCCAAUCCAAUCUAGAAAUAUCAAGCCAUCAAGGCCUCCACAAAUAUUCAAUAGUAUAUCUCCAAUUAGAUCGUCAGAUACAGGACACAUUAGAAUGCACAAUUCUAGUGUCACUAAAGUAAUGCUAAAGAUACCUUAAAAUACACCCCAAAAUGCAGCUGAUGAGUCAAAUUUGCACACGUGACAGCUAGUGAUUGAUUUAGCUUUUAAAUUUCAGACAUGAUACCUAAUAUAGAUAUCAAUAUUAAAAAGCUAAAUCAUUCACUAGUUGUCAUAUGUACAAAACUAACUCAUCAACAACAUUAUGGGCUAUAUCAUAAGAUAGUAUUACUUAUAUGAAAAAUUAAUAGAUUCAUCUUCAUCAUGAGGUUUGGAGGGAAUAUUAUAACUUCUGUUGAAGUUCCACCAUCACCAAAAAAUUUUGGAAGUCCAACAAUUAAUUAUAUCCUUGAGUAAACUUUACAAACUAUACCAGUGAAAUACCCAUGUUCGCUAAGAUUUAAAGAAAGAUGUUAGCUACUGGUUUCUCCUAUGUCAGCUCUCGCAUAGAACCAAGUACACUGAUCAUAGUGUAUAGAACUUCUGAUUAGACCAAACUCUGAAUCAAGUGGAACUGUGGAAGACUUUUCAAGUAAACACAAUCAGUCAAAAUCUUAUUACUAGAAUAUACACCUUCCACUGAACAUUUAACUUAAAACAGCUCUUGCACUUCUUUCCGACGGUAUCCUCCAGCAAACCACCAUGGCAAUCAUGCCCCAAGACUUCUUUUAGAGUCCAAAAAUCUAUUCAUUCUUCAAUUGGUGCAUGUGAAACUUGUUAAGAUAAUACUCCCAGCCUUACCUAGUAAGGGUACACUGCUAAAACAAAUAGUAGACACCCUCUUCCACCACCACAUUGUGUAGAAACAGAGUUCCCUUUCAAUGUCUCUUCAACAGAUUGUGUUUUGUUAGAAGGCUCAGAACUCUAUUGUUUAUAGGAAGCUAGUAAUUUGAAAAGCAACCCCAUAAAACCACAGAGCCAAUGAGCUAAUAAUUCUCCAUCAUUAAGAGUUUCGUAACAAGCAUCAUUGCCAAGUUGUUGCACCAGCUGGACACCAAAUUCCCUAGUCUAUAGUAAUAUUAAAACUGUCCAAGCAGAUGAUUGAGCUCAAACUUCUUCUAAACUGUACAUUCUAACUUAGAUGUCUUUUCAUAGAAUUCUUGUAAUAGAAUUUCAAUAUUAAAACUCGCCAAACAUAAGUCCCUUAAUAAGAGAGAGGCCUCCACUUCCACUUGCAUAAUAAAGCGCUAAUAAAAUUCCUUUGGCCCAUCAUUCUUUUUAACCAUCCUAUCUCAGCUCACUUUGACAAUGUCUCCGCAUCCAGUAAAACUUCAUUCUGAUUGUCUGAUUCUACCGAUAACCAUGGAGGCAAUCUAUAAAGAGAUCUAAUAUACAAAGGAAACAGAUAUAACCAAUUUAAGAAGAAUUAAACUUCCAACCAAAGAUGAUAGAGAACUUUCUGACCAGACUAAUUGGGGUCAACUAAUUGGGUUUGAAAAAGGACAUGAAACUGGGAUUCACAAAAGAUUUCACGUACCUCUUCUGAAAUAUAACUUUGAAUAGCCUUUUAUUUCAUUCUUAUGUCAAACGACCAUGCGUCAUUACACGCAACUUACCAUUAUAACUUGUUAACCAAGGAAAUAAAUAAAUAAAUAAAGAUUUGAAUGUAUAUUAUAUAUUAAUGGGUUUCAAAGAGUUUUUGGCUAAAAUUUAGAGCUCAAGGAGCAAAGUGCAGUGACACAAAAAGCACAACGAUGGACAGAUGGAGAUAAAUUUUACCAUCAUUUAAUUGAUAGUCCAAAACAUUAAGCAAUUCACUUAAAUGUGUAGUUGGUGACUAGACUUUUGGGAGACUCUCCACCCAACGAGUGCCCAACCACGCUAACAACCUAGGCAGUCUUUCUCACCUACUAUCUUCAUGACACAAGAAAUAUUAGUUGUCUUAGUUUAGUUAAACCUUUUAGUAACAUAUAAUCAAUAGAUGAGUAUAAAUAGCCACAAUGACAUAAAUAAGAGUGCUAUAGCAAAAGAAUGUAUAAUUACUGAUCAGCUGGAUGUACUAAAGUAAUAAAAAGCAAUAGUGACCUGGACAUAUCUCAAUUCACCGGUACCCAAAUCUUCAUCAAAUGGCUGAAUAUUCAACUUGGAAAUACCUAUGAAAAUUAAAAAUGUCAAAAAAAAAAAAAAAAAAAUCAGAGACCAAUGGAUAUGCAAACAAAAUGCAACAGCUAACUCUUGAGUUAAAAGAGCAUGCCUUGUUUUAGAAGGUCGACUGCAGCAUUGAUGCUUGGAUGAUGUGCUGCAUGAAAGAACAACUCGAUAAAAGAAACAGAUCGCAAGGAGCAAAUUGUGAAAGGUUGCAAGGAAACUAUAUAUCUUAUUGAACUGAUGGCAUGAUAAUGGACAAAAAACCACUUACCAAAACACUCUCAUUAUACAAGUUAUGAUACAAGGAUAACUCUAGCAUCCAAUACAAUAAUUACCACACAUAACAAAUAAAAUAUUGCAAUGACAUAAAUGUUAAUGCAGUUGUUCUCUCUAAAUCAAGACCCUAGCUUUAGGCUGAAGACAAUAGACAGACAAAUCAACUGUACAAAGUAAUUAACGCACCUCUACCUAAAUACUAUCACUAUGGGAGUGAAAUGCUUUAAUUAGAGUACAGACAUACACGCGAGAAAGAGAGAGAGGGAGGGAGGGGGGGCCUUGACAAUUGUCGCAACAUUUUAACUACCAAACAGUUUAUGUAGUGGCAAAAAUAUGAAAAUGUUUUGCUGUCUAACCUCUACAUUGUGGAAUAUCAACAACACUAUGUGUCCCUUCUUGAUAUAGCCCAACCAGCGGGAUCUCUGGCGUUCCGCGUAUAGCAAGCUUUGCGCGACAUCUCCACUCCCACUAGAAGUGCCAUUUAUGGGAAUCAGUAUAUAAGAGAAAGCUGCAUGAAAGUAGCUUACAGCUUUUCCAUAAAAAAAUAAAGCAUAAGAUAUAAAUUAAUAAAAAAACAUUAAAAAGACAUAAUAGUAAAAAUUGUAAAAAAAACAUAUAUGGAGAAAAUAUAAUCAAUAGCUUUUCCAAAUUAAAGUAUAAAACAUCUAACUAUGGCAGAAUACAAAAAAAAAGAGGAACAGUUCUCAUACAUGGACAAUAUAAAGGGUCAGUGGUUCACUAAUAAGCAGAAAGACAAUUAGCCCCUUAACAUGAGGACAUGAAUAAGACAAUGUUAUGGUACUAUCGGUCUCAAGUGAAACUACAAAAUAAACAAAACUUAGUUUUAAGCACCAAAUCUCCAGAACAAAAGCACCGUCAACAACUUUUGAUUAAUUCCACAACCGCAUUAGACAACCUUACCACAUCAGUUCCAAUUGUGUAUGAGUGCGCAUGCGUGCGUGCUUGUUUGCAUGCAUGCAUGCAUCUGUGUAGCCUACAUCUUUGCUUUUAGUUCAUCUCAAAAUCCUAGCAGUCAUAUCUUCCGGUCGAACGUAAUCUGCCUACAAGGUCAUGUGUCUUACUCACAAAAAAUAACUUAAAGGUGGCAUAAACUAGUGCCUGGAACAUCCAAUCAUACUCCUCAUUUACCAAUCACUGCUCUUAACCUUCAGUAAACAAAAAUGUUGUGUGGAACAUGGUGCUCAUGCAUCCAAAAUGGCCACAAAUUCAAAAGUAAGAUUUGAACCCAAGUAUCAAAUUCAAAAUGAUGAAUUUAUUUCAAUGCAACAUAAACAAAAAAAAUUAAUAGACACAGGUUGAUUCCAAUAAUAACACACCAAUCGACCAAUAUCAAAGGAGAAGUCGGCAACGCCGCGGUCCUUGAAGAACUUGCUCACUUCUUCGAGCACUUGCGGGCGGUCCAGAUCCCACUCAUGCGUGCACCCUGAACACCUAGGAUCUCACCAAAAAAAUAUAUAUAUACAUUAAUAAAAAAUAAUUUAAGGGUCCUGCUUGGAAUUUGGCUCACUAAUUUCUAAUUUGAUGCGAGAUAACGCAAAAACUUAUCUCCCAUUUCAAUUCGAUCCCCAAAACUCGAUUUGACUCAGGAAAGCUCACUAAAAAGUAAAAACCAGUGUUCCCAAGCCACAAAAAAAUCCGCUUUAUGAGGAUUUAUGCACUAAAUUACACUUUUCGAGCUGAAUUUAAGCUGCUUGCACCAAAUUAGACUUAGCAGAACUAUACAACAGCGAGUUUUCUGUGCCAAAUCAAACUCUUAGGGCCAAAUCGUAGUAAGAACGAAAUUAGUGAGAUUGAUAUGAAAGAGAAAUUUGGGUCAAAUUGCAACUGCGACAAAGUUACCAGAUUUUUGUGAUGGUAAUCAAAAAAAUAAUCAGAAAUAGACGACCAUGAGAAGGGAUUAGGGUUAGGACUUACGAUUGGAAGUGCGGGCACUGGAGAGCGCAAGAAGAAGCGGAGGCGGCGGAGGAGGACGAGGAGGAGGAGGGAGAGAGGGGUUGGAGGUGGAGAUGAUUAGGGUUUUUAGGGCUUCUAGGGUUCUUGUAGGGUUCGGUGCGAGGAGGAGGGGCGGCGGGGGCGAGCCGCGCCGUGACGAACGUCACCGAGAGUAGCGCCGCCACCAUUUUUUCUUUUUUUUUUUUUUUGUUACGGAGCGUCCGCACGAAAAACUGCGUGCGAAUCGCGGAAAGCGAACAAAGCGAACCAACACUGUAGUAGAUGUAUACUGUAACAGCGAGGUACGGAAAUCCUAGAUAUUAGUAACUAGACUAAAUACGAAAUUACCCCUGUAUAAAUUUAAGUAUAAAUUAUUUAUUAAUUAACUUGCUAUAUCUAAUUCGUGCAAAUCUCUUGAUCAGAUGUUCUGAUCGUCCAAAUUCGACCUCUAUCUCUCUCAAAAUGUGCAAAAUGCCUUAUUUAAAGCGAACCAAAUUUAUCAUUUGAUGUCCUCGACCAGGCAUCAAAUUUUGCCGCAUAUUUAUAUCAUCAAAUCAUUUUUUUUAAGAGAAGAUUACAAGUAUGAUAAAAAAUGAAAUUAAAAGCAAUUAUAUUAAAACCAAAUCCAUAAUAGACUGUCACAUUAGACUUUUUUCAUAACGCGGGGGUUUUUUCAUAAUGCGGGGUUCAAGAGAUCGAAAUUAUGAACCUGCAUUUGGUAAUCGUAUUUAUAUAAUUAAAAAGUUGCAAUAAAGUAUUAAGUGAAUAAUUUAGGAACAAAGUCCAUCUAUAUUAUACGCCACACUUUGGAGAGUUUAUAGCAUUGCCUAAACAGUGCAGUCCCAUCAUGGUUCCAACUUUGUUGUUCACUUCCAAAUUUGUAAAAUUUAUUUUCCAACCUCCAACACUUGAUGAAUGAUUACACCCUUCAUCAUCAAGCACAUAUACUAAUUGUGGCCGCAAAACUUAAUGUGUAACAGUUUGAUUUUGAGCACUCUUCGUUUUUCAAAUAUCACCCCUAUCUUCUAUUGGCCGAUCGAAAAGCUGAUCAGCUUGGCCAUCGUACACGAUCUCUUUGCAGAUACCUCCCAUAACGAACGCGUUGGCGCGUAUCCUUCCACAAACUGAACGUCAACUUACGCCGCGUGGAAUGAUAUCAUCCUAGCAGCAGCUCAACGUCAACUGAACGUCAGAGAGCGAGUCUUGCCGCCGAGCUCAGGAACAAAGCAAGCUCUCGUAUGUUCGAACAUUUUAGAUACGGGGCGUCCUGCCUUAGUAACCGAUUCGCGCUCCCCCUCCCGUGUCGUACUCGGUAAACGGCCAUCCUUCGAUAAAUGCGUAAACCUACUUGGCAAUAUGGUUUCCAAAUCUAUAUGAAAACAUAGGUUUGCAACCUGAAGAACAGAAUUUUUCAUAUAAGGACCAAAAACUAUAUAAUGCACUAUAUAAUUUUAAUGUGUGUACUCAAGAAUGUCAAAAAGCUUACUUAUGAGCCAAAUGGACGCAUUGUCUUCGUCGACUCGCAUGCAGGUUCGUACUUGAGAAACUCAACAUGGAGCAUGACAACAAUUUCCCUAGAGAGAGAACAAAUGAUUGAGAUUCUUUUCAGAAAUAGAGGAGAAAACUUUAUUGGUGUUGUUGAAAACCAACCUGUGAAGCUCAUAGUCAUAGCAAUCCACAUUGAUCAAGCCAGAGUGUUUCAUAAGUUUUGUUACAUCCUCCUAUUUCCAAAAUUAAUGCAACACUGUUAGCUAUUACAUUAACUCAUAUAUGUUUUGAGCUAAGAUUACAAAUGUAAAAUUGCACUACCUGUGAGGGGUUGUCUUAAAUUCCGCGAUUCCGGAGCCAAUUGUUAGCAUCUGAUAAAAAGCAGCAUAAAAUAAAAUCAGCAUUUUAGUCAUCUAAACUAGAAAAUAAACUAAUUAAACAAAUUGUAACAAGGCAGAGGUGUAUAUAGUAAACUCUCUCCAAUGAAGCUCUUGACAGAAAUGCCAAGGGGGUGGUCCCAUAUGAUGAGAUAAGUGCUAUGGACUUAAAAUCGCGACUGGACCAUAUCCGCACCCGCUCCCUCAGAAAUACAAGAGCUGUCAAGUAGCUCGUACAGAAAAAUUUUAAAAAAAAAAAAAAAAAACCAAAGCCCAUUUAGUUGCUGUUCAUCUUUACUUGUAUUUAAUAGUUGAUAUGGACUGAUUGUGUUUUAGAAGAGAGAUCCAUUGUGACAUAACUACUUUACAAUUUAAAUUUUCUAGUUAAAUGCACCAAUUGUUAUUUGAAUCCUCACUUAUUUUGGUUUGGUUCCUUACCCUUUCUAGCCAAUAAAAUUUCUAUACAAUGCACAUUCUUCAUUUAAAAAAUCCUUGCAAUAUUUGGCACCUUUAGACCUGAACCUCUACAAAGUACACUAAAUUAAAAAAUUAUGCAAGACACAUGCUGCAUUUAAUACUGAAUUAAACUUAAUUUAUACACAUUCACUGGGUUUAAAUGUAGUCAUUGUUUGAUUGAUAUACCAACCAACGUAGCUCACGUGUUGUGGGCAAAUGUUCCAUGACGAAAUUUGAAAGACAUAUAUCAGGAAAUUACAAAUACACAAGUAAAGAUUUUUAAUAAUUUUUCUUACACUAAAGUUCGCUUGAUGACUUCAAAAGUCAGCAUAAAAACGUAUACAAUUCACACACGAGCUUCUAUUUUCGAGUCAAGAUUAUAUUUGGAUUUAAGCUCGACCAUUUUUUGCACCUGUUUGCAACAACCAACGCACAAUUCAUAUCCAUUUGAUACUAUUUGACAUUUAGAAUUUGUAAUGAACAAUUAAGAGUGUGAGCAUGAGAAUUAAAAGAAGAGGAAAGAACUUUUCUACCAUGAGUGACAACAAAGCAUCCUCCCCUGUUACUAACAAACGUCACAAGUAGCAGAGACAGUCAUGUAACUUAAGCUCAUCCCAAGACCAAGCCCAAUAAGUCCUCACAAAUAAUAUAUUCAUCCAUAAUACAUUAAUGAUUUUGCAAAUCAAAGGUAAGUAAGAUUUUCUUAAAAAUUAGUGGUACAAAGAGAGACCCAAUGUCGUAGGAUAACCGUGCAUAUUGAGUCGAGGAGACUUGACGACACUCCAUCGAUUCCUCUCGUUUCGCGAUCCACGACCUCGAACACCGGUCUGCCCCUAAGACGAAUUCAGCGAUGUUCGGCGAAUUGACGCAGCCAUGUUAUGCCACCCCUGCACAAUGUUUUGACCUCAUGAUGGUAAACACUACCAAUAGUCCAGCACGAAUGAAAAAAUAUCUGAUUGAAAUAUUAUGCAAGACCCCGGUACUUGUAAUAAUAAUGGCUAAACAUUUGAGCCGCUAGUUUUGAACAACGAGUUAUUACGCUAAUUAUUUGGUUGUUCAGUUUUUCUUGGUGUUUCUGUUUUUUUGUUUGUUUUGUUGUUUCUGUUGUUUUGUUGUGUUUGUGUGUUCGUGUUUGAGGUUGUUAAAAUUGUAUCAGAAUCAAAAUACCAAAGUAAAACCAAAGGUGAGAGCUAACUAACAGAUAAAUGCUAUAUCAGGAUUGAUUGAGCAGGCUCCACACCUUAUUAAUAAAAACAUGGACUAAACUUUAAAACCGAUGAUUUGGAACCUAUAACAAAUUAAUUAUUAUAGCGACAAGUCGUAAACAUAAGCAAACUUAAUUCAUUCAGUCACUAUAAUGAUGCCUACACUAAAAAAAAUGACCACAUAAUCCAUCAUAAAAGUAAUUAAUAUCCCUGAUCUUGUUUAAUAAUAAAUAUCAUAAAGAACAGCAUAUAUAUAAUAUCUAUAUAUAUGUACAUAAAUUAAUAUAUGUCAUAUCAAAUUCUCAGAAUAGGCAAAGCAAAAAUAAAAAUCCUUCUAUACAUUAAACCAUAAAGAAAUUUCCAAAUAUGAAAAAACAUAUCACAACAAAUGAACAUACAUAUCUAGAGUAAAAACAAAAAAAAAAAAAAAAAAGUUAUAACCAUACCAUUAAAACCCCAUGUUGCAAUAGCACAGGUUGCCUCCUUUUUCCGUCGUCAUUGCCGCCGCCGCUGCCGUUUACGCCUCCUCCCCCUCUCUGCGGGAUCCUUUGCAUGCUCAAUAUAUAUCCAUCUUGAGUUGUCACCUAAAAAAGCCAAACAUAAAAAAAAAAAAAAAAAAAUUUAACUUCCACAACAUCAGUGUAAUUUCGUACGAAAAUUUGAAUUUAUUCGAAAGAAACUGAUUAAACUUAUAGAAGGAAUUUUCACAUAAACAACCUCAUAUUCUUCACAUUUGUAACCGCGGGGGAUCACCAUCAACGCGCAUGGCCCUGUCGUUUCAGGCGAUGGCACGGCAAUGUCCGACCGAGUAAGCGCGCGAGCUCGAGUGAGACCGAAUUGGAUACAUAAGUAGAGAAGAAUAGAGAGAGUGGUCCAUGCCAUGCCAUUGUAACCCAUAUUUGUUGUUAGUAUAUAUGUUAGUAGAAUAAAAGGAUGCAACAUAUAUAUACUGUAGGGGGGUGGCUUUUAAAAGCUUUUAAAAAAGGAAGGGGGAGGGAAAUUGAGGAGAGAGAGAAAAAGAAGUGUGAAAGCAAAGAGAGAAUUGAGUUUUUUUUCCCCCUACGAUGUGAUAAAUGACUCAAAUGUUGAUGCCUUAAAAAGUGUGGGGCUUCUCUUUUUGGCUUACUUUAUUGGUUAUACGUAUAACAUGUUGUCGAGGGCGUACAGGCUUGGGAUUUAGGAGUUGACGUUCAUUCGGUUUGGGAUAGAUGGGUGGGCAAGAAGGGGCCGCAAUCUACGCCUAAUAGGAUCCCAGAAUUAGCGGCCUGUUUGUGGAUCAUUUGGGAGAACAGAAAUAAUACAAUCUUCAGAAUGAUUCAGCUGGACUCCCUGAGAGUUGUUUGUAAGGCUAAACAGUUGUCGAGCUCUUGGGAUCAAUUUUUGUCGGUUAAUUGGUAAUUUUUUUUUUUUCACCCUUCUCGAGGUCCGGAUGAAUGAAGCGGAUGCCAUGCUAUCUUAUUCUCAAAAAAAAAAAAAAAAAAAAAAAAAAAAACAUGUUGUGGGGAAAUGAGGAUGGGAUUUGAUGCUAAGGCUAGUUGAAGUAAUCAUUGUUGCAGAGUAGUGAAGAAUCAUUAAUGUUCACACUAGAGGGAAAAUUAGUUAAAAGAAAAAGAAAAAAAAAAAGUGGGCAUGAACUUUUGGUUAUUAUGCUUUUGGGGUAGCUUUUAAUUGACUUGAAUAGGCUUUUAUUAUACACACUUUGUAGAUUGAUAUCAUUGAGUGAGGACUAAAGUCCUUGCGUCCAAAUUCACAACCAAAUAAAUAUAAUAUUUUUUAAAUUAAAAUCAAAUCAUCUAUUAACAGAGUAUUUACUAUACGCAGAUCAAAUAAAUAAAGAAAGAAAAUAAUUCCUUUAACUUAUUUUCUAUUUUACUGAGUUUUGCUAAAAUAUAUAUAUAUAUGCGCAUGAGAAAAAAAACAAAAAAUACGAGUUCCCAUAAGAACGUGUAGACAACGUGAGUGCGUUGGGAUAUUGUGGAAACGUAUACAUCAUCCACAAUAGCCUUUUGCGUUACGGAGAGGCCCCAAAGAAAACAUAUAUAUAUACACACAUGCACUGAUCAAUUUUGUUCUCAGGGUUACGUAGAUAGAGAUAUUUUUGAGGAUGGGGUUUGUUAACGAAUUAUUGUAGUUGUUGUUGUUGUUGUUGUUAGAGAGAGAGGGAGAGAGAGAGAGGGAGGGCCACACGUGUGACGUGGCUACAGGAACUCCCUACAACAAACCAAUUUGGGGACCCACCACUUCACACGUGGGAUCCUCUUAACACGUGGAAAUUUGUGAUAAGAGUAUAGAAUUUUUCGUACACAUAAAGUUUUGUUUGGUAUUACGAAAAUAUUACGUUAUAUAUUAUGAGAAAAUAUGAUAAAAAAAUAUCAUAUUAUUUUUGUAUAUAAUAUUGCGUUUUGUAUAUUGCAAUGAGUCGGUUACGAUAUAUUUUUUGCAGUCCCACCGAAGAACGUAGAAAUAUAUCCUUAUAUAUUUUUAUCCCGACUUAAUUUUAUCUAAUAGCGUCAAAUAGACCUCAAUACCAAACUAAGCCUAACUCGUUUUCGAUAAUAGAGCUNNNNNNNNNNNNNNNNNNNNNNNNNNNNNNNNNNNNNNNNNNNNNNNNNNNNNNNNNNNNNNNNNNNNNNNNNNNNNNNNNNNNNNNNNNNNNNNNNNNNGAUUAUAUUGUCAAAUCAUUUGAAAUUUUUCUUAUAUAAAAUGCCAAAUUAUGAAAGGAAAGAUAGAGAGAGAAAAAGGAAAUAAAGAAAAAAUAAAAAUUUUGAAAAUAUAGUAGAUGUAAAAUGACUAAAUUGUCUAUGUAUUAAAAGACAAAAAUAUUCUUUUUUAAGAUACCUGGUAACCGGUACCUUUCCUAAAGUGACCUGCUAUUGUAGGUCACAAUUUAAAAAAAAUUAAAUCUGAACCGUUGAAUACACGUGAAUGAACGGUAACCAACAAAAAAAAGUAUAGAAGCAUUACUCAAAUAAAAAAUAGAAUAGACAUUAAUUUCUCAGAUAUAAUACUAUUAUUAUCGUACCAAGUUGCGUAAAUAAAUAAUUGUAGCUUAGAUAGACCAUUUGCUUAAUUACCCAGCCCAAUGUAGUUGUGGAACAUUUUCUCAUACAAUCCCUCCCCUCUCCCCUCGUCUCUUCGUUCUCUUAAUUUCUACUGCUGCAUUAAUUCUAUCCAUCUAUCUAUCUAUAGAUUCUAUAGAUUCUGUACUAUCAAAAUCGAUAUAUGCAUGGCGGACUGCAUCUGUAAGGUUGUUGAUGCGGCGAUCUCGCCGCUGGUGAGCCUCGUCACGGAGCAUCUGGCGUAUCUUCUUAAAGCGGAGGACAAUUUGGACGAGCUCGAGAAAGUCGCCGCGGAGCUGGCCGCCAGGAGGAAGGAUGUAGACGAGAGGAUCCAGUCCGGCCGCAGAACAACCGGCGGCACUGCGACGAANGCCCUAGAGCUCUCUUAUAUUAGAAAAGUUUCCAUUUUGGCCUGAUCCAACCAAACAUAUAUAAGGUCUUGGCCCAGUAAAUAUUAUAUGGGCUGGGCUGGGCUGGACCAUUUAAGUUUGUGUUCGACCUAUUGAAGUUGUGGGUUCGUUCGCAUCGGGCCUGUAUCACGAGCUCUCCUAGUAGAGACCAGACCAACUUUAAUAGGUUAAUCCGGUACUUGAACAUUUAUGUAAUAAGAAAUCGAUAUCCAUGUUUGGGUAAUCUAGCGUAAAAAAAGAAAGGAACAUAAAGUCCAACGAAAAUAUGGGGAGAUUUUCUUUUAUUUUGUGAGUUUGCAUGUAGCUUGCUAUUCUGUAAAUUUGGAUAUAAACCGCUGUACUAGGCCGAAGUAACAUGCUAGAGUCUUAAAUUUGAACCUUCAUUGAAGAAGGUUAAAGGGUAGUUGUUUCCAUUUUUCAAAAAGAAAUGAUUUUAGUAGAUUCAAUUUUAACACAGAUAGAUUGGUUAUUGUUUCCAAGUUCAAUACUGAAUCUUUAUGAGAAUAAAUGAAUCUUCGUGAGAAUAAAUUUAAACCCUUUUUCAUAAGUUUUAUGACUUUUUUUUUUUUGAUUAAGAUAGGUAGUACGUUACCCGCUUUAUUUAUUUCAUUUAGAAAUAAAUAUAGCUGAAAAUGUGAAUCAAUUAGGAUUCGAACUUGAAAUCUCGGGUACCAACCACCAAACCUUUGCCACUUGCUCAAAGACGGUUAGUAGGCAUCAAAUAUUUCAUAUCUCAAAAUAAGUAACCGAGAUAUACAGAAGUAUAACGCUCUUCUUAGGAAGAAGACAUUUCAACAACACUUUAGUAGCUGCGUAUUGAGCAAACAAAUGGUCUAAUGUUAAGCACGCAUAUUUUCUCACCCUUGUUGGCAUUUUUUUUUUUUUUUUAUUAGUUAUCUAUGCAAAUUUUAUAUACAUAUAUAUUUUUUUACCUGAAAGAAAUUUUAUCGAUCAAACUUAUAAGAAAGUUACUCUGACAGGCACGACAAGUUGGAGAUUGACAACCCGCCGGCGGCGGGAAUAGAAUACCGGUAUCUUGAUCAGGCACUCCAAUUUAUCAACGAUGACGCGGUGAAGAUGGUCGGAAUCUGGGGCAUGGGCGGGGUGGGGAAGACCCACCUCCUCAAGUUCAUCAACAACUCGUUCGCUCGCCAAACUUCUUUCGACGUCGUGAUCUUCGUCACAGCGUCUAGAGAGUGCUCCGUAGCACGGAUUCAAAGCGAGAUUGUGAAUACGCUCGACUUGCCCGCGAUAAACAACGUGCAGGACCAGGCCAGAAUCAUCUCAGACUUUCUGCGCGAAAAGAAUUUUCUCCUGCUGCUGGACGAUCUGUGGGAACGACUCGACCUGGGAGCCGUCGGCGUCCCGAUGCCUUCGGCCGCGGGCGAGCAGCUUAAAAGAAAGGUGGUGUUGACAACGAGAUAUUUGAAAGUCUGCGGCCAGAUGGGUGUAAGCAGGAGGAACAGCAUCAAAGUGGAAUGUCUGGACGGCGACGACGCUUGGCUUCUCUUCCGAGAGACCGUCGGCGAAGACACGAUCGGCUCUAGUCUUGCCGUCGAAGCCCUCGCAAGAAAAGUAGCCAGAAAGCUGGGCGGCUUGCCCCUCGCUCUCAUCACCGUCGGAAGAGCCAUGUAUGAUAAGGAAGAUUCGAGGGAAUGGGGACAUGCCAUCGACCUGCUGCAGGACGCGCGCCACGACGAGGUCGAUCCGGAUGCAGAGGAAGAAAGCUUGUUCCAUACCUUGAAGUUUAGCUACGAUAGGCUACGGAAUGAUGCCUUGAGAGAUUGUUUGUUGUGCUGUUCCUUGUGGCCGGAGGAUUCCUGCAUCCCCAAAAAUGAUCUUAUCCUGNAUAUAAUAUAUAUAUAUUACUAUGUAUAUUACUUUCUUAUUAGGAUAGUAUUAUUUAUUUCUUUGUAUAACAGGAUAUAAUCCUGUACUUCCAUGUAAAGCUUUUCCUCUCUCUAUAUAAGAGAAUGGAUUUAGAUGAAUAAUAUACAGAAAAUUUCUCAAAUCUCUUGUUUCAGUGCUGUUCCUUGUGGCCUGAGGAUUUCUGCAUCCCCAAAAAUGAUCUUAUCCUCUGUUUGUUGGGGUUGGGCGUGAUCGACGGGUUCGACGACAUGCAGAGUGCGUAUAACAUAGGAUACGAUCUCAUAGCUAGCCUGCGAUCUGCAUGCCUGUUGAACGACGACGACCUCGGCUUCGGAGUGAGGGUUCACGAUGUUAUUCGCGACAUGGCACUGUGGAUAGCUUGCAACUGCGGGGAGAGGAAGAAGAAAUGGUUUGUGAAGGCAGGACUGGGGUUGACGGAGGCGCCGCCGCAAGGGACGGGAAUUGUAUGGGGCGAGACCGACUGCGUGUCGUUAAUGCAUAACAGGAUCAAAGCAUUUCACGGCUCUCCCGGCAGUUCCUCCCCCGCCGCACUUACAACCUUGAUGCUGCAAGGUAAUCGGCUACGCAAAAUUUCGCUCGCGGCUUCUCCCUCCCUCGCGGCACUCGCGUACCUAGAUUUGUCUCACAAUAAACUCAACGGUUUCCCGGAAAAUAUAUGUCGGCUGACCACCCUUCGAUACCUCAACUUGUCGUUCAAUCUAAUCCGCGAAUUGCCUGCGGAGCUUAAACUUCUGACUAGCCUCGAGUACUUGAUUCUGCGUGAAAGCAACGUCCGGAUAAUUCCUGCGGGUGUUAUACGCGAACUCGAGGCGCUUCAGAUGCUGGACUUGCGCGGAUUCCUGUCCGGCGCGGUGGAGUAUUUGCCGUGGCUAUUCGAAGAGUUGGAGGCGCUCAAUAACCUGAAGGCUCUAGAGAUCAGUGUGAAGGAUGUGAACCAGUUGAAUCGGCUCGAUGAGUUACGGAGGACGCGAAUUCGGUCCCUCAACAUAUUUCACUUCGAGCAAACGACUCUUCCCUUGUUGGCCACUCCUCUCGGCAGCUCUCGAAUACAGAACAGCUUGUUCGAUCUGGAGAUUGCCGGCAGCACCACUUUAGAGGAGAUAGUAUUCGACGACGCCCGUUCGUAUCGCAACCCGUGUUUUCACAAUCUGGAGAAGCUAUCAUUCGACGCGAUGCAUAGAUUGAACAUUGUGUUGGACCGAUUGGUAGCCAGGGAAGUUUUUCCGAGGCUCUGUACUUUGGAUUUCAGGUAUUGCAACAGCCUGAAGGAUGUUUCUUGGAUCUUGUAUCUCCCGUGCCUUCGCAUACUAGUUAUGCGCUCGUGCCGAAGCGUGACACAGCUCAUUUCUAGUACACAGAACGAUGACGGUAAAGGAGAAGUCGUGGCGGCGCCUACCUUCCCUUCCCUCAAAAGGAUAAGUUUGAUCAACCUGCCGGCGCUGCAAUGUGUGUGUGAUCCUGCAUACACCUUUCCAUGUUUGGAACAAUUUGUGGUUAUAAUGUGCGGGAGGCUUACGAAGCUGCCUUUCCGCGCCGAUACCAUCCCCAAAAACUUGAAGUUUAUUAGAGGUGACGAAACAUGGUGGGAAAGAAUAGAAUGGGAGGACGACGUCUGCAGAACUUCCCUUAAACUUUCGACGUCCACAUUUCUUCCCUUAGGUUCGUCUGAGAAAGGGAUAGCACGUUACGUGCUCAUUCAUUAGGUGGGUCAACUCAGCUACGAGUGAGGCAGCCACGGUCUCGAAAAAAAAAAAGCAUCAGAAAGUAAAAAUAAAAGUAAAAAUAAAAACUAGUAAGAACAUCAAGGUAAAGGAAAUAGAAACAACCAAACUUAGGGCGAAAUGAAAAAUGCCAUCAACCUCGACCAGUCCUACAAAAAUCGGCCCACUCCUUUGCAAGAACUCCGAUAUCAUAAACUUGAGGCGGUAGCGUCCAAGAACUCCGAUUUCUUCCCUUACGUACGUUCCUUCCAUAUAUAUAUAUAUAUAUAUAUAUAUAUAGAGAGAGAGAGAGAGAGAGAGAGAGAGAGAGAGAGAGAGAGAGAGAGAGGUUAGGGCUACUAUCCUAUUAAUAGGAUUGAAGCAUUUGUCCUAUCAAAUUAUUUUUGAUGAUAGAGAUUCCGAAUCGAUGAUCGGAGCCGUUGAAGUUGAUCUAGAAUAUUUGAAAUAUCUAUAAAUUAAAUUUCAUAAGUUUUAAAAAUUAUUUACAUGGUGAUCAAAGUGUUGUAAAAUCGAUAAUUUUUGACGGCCUAUAUGAGCCGUUUGCUUGUUUAACGGUGUAGAGCNACAAUCCAAAUUGCUUGAAUUUUUGAUAGAAAAUUUUUUAUACUAUUUAGAUAAUAUUUGAUAACUCUGAUUAUGAAUUGAGAAAGUCUAAUCUUUAUUUUAAGAAAGUUAUUUAUUUAUGAUCGUUCAUUUUUGAACUCUUAAGAUGAACUUGAUAAUGAUUUUUAAAUAUUACAAAAUUUGGUUUCUAAACAUUCUAAUUGUGUAGAUCAAUUUCAAUGGUGCCGAUUAUCAAUUUGAAGUUCCAAUAAUACAAACGACUUGAUAGGACAAUGGUCUCAAUUCUAUUAAUAGGAUAGUAGCCGGACUAUAUAUAUACAAGAUAGUAGUUUCUCUGAUCUACUGGGCUAGUUGUGUGUUUCCUUUUAGUGAUUCUCCUGUGCGACUUAGAAGCUACUUGCGUGUUUUUUCUCAAUUAUUGUCGGUGUGAGUAGAAAAUUAAUGCAAGUGUAUAAUUGUCUUCAUGUAAUCCAAUUAAUGAUUUUAUUUGUGUAACUAUCCAGCUCACUAGCUCUCUAAUAAUGUAUUGGCCCAAACUAGUAGAGGAGCCAAAAUUAGUUAAACUCAUUCAUUAUCAUUCAUUUUAACCACUAAUAAAUGCCUAAGUUAACCCCUUGGUGCUAAAUACUAUUCACAUACUAUUCGGGGCGUCUGAUUAGAUGUAAUUAUAAAUGCAAUAUAGUUAGAAAUGCAUACCGUUGAAAAUGCAGUAAUUAUAACUAUAUGCAUCAUGUUUGAUUGAAUGUAGUAGAAAGCAUUACAAGUAUAAAUAAUUUGUUUGAUUGUAUGCAGUAGAUAAAUAAUUUUUAAAAUUUUAUCAUUUUAUAUAUAUGAUGCUGAAAUUAACUCCAAUGUAAAGAAAAAAAAAAAAAUUCUAUUUAAAAAAUAAUUGAGCAUAUAACCAUACCUUUUAUGUAAAGUUACUCUCUUCAACUGCUGCAGUUGAAACUACGACUAAUUUGGGCGUAGUUCGAACAGCUACAGUUGAAUUUUCUUCUGUAGUUCCUACUGCAGCAGUUGAAGUUAAAUACAUCAAACCAAACACCGAAUUCGCAUAUGCAUGCAGUUACAACUACAUGCAACCAAACGGCCUCUUCGUAGUAGUCCAGCACCCCUUAGUGCUAAAUACUGUUCACAUACUAUUCAUAGUAGCCUACCUCAACCCAGGGUAAAAUAAGUAUGUAGUCACAUUUUUUACAAUAAUGUUAGCAAUAUAGGUAUUUCUAAUAAUUUCUAUUAAUUAAAGGAGUGUUUCAAAAUUAAAAACUUUUGG
rnacentral:lncRNA from 1 species